AACGAACGCUGGCGGCAGGCUUAACACAUGCAAGUCGAGCGCCUCGCAAGAGGAGCGGCAGACGGGUGAGUAACGCGUGGGAACGUACCCUUAUCUUCGGAAUAGCUCUGGGAAACUGGAAGUAAUACCGAAUGUGCCCUUAGGGGGAAAGAUUUAUCGGAUAAGGAUCGGCCCGCGUUGGAUUAGCUAGUUGGUGGGGUAAAGGCCUACCAAGGCGACGAUCCAUAGCUGGUCUGAGAGGAUGAUCAGCCACAUUGGGGCUGAGACACGGCCCAAACUCCUACGGGAGGCAGCAGUGGGGAAUAUUGGACAAUGGGCGCAAGCCUGAUCCAGCCAUGCCGCGUGAGUGAUGAAGGCCUUAGGGUUGUAAAGCUCUUUCACCGGAGAAGAUAAUGACGGUAUCCGGAGAAGAAGCCCCGGCUAACUUCGUG
rnacentral:rRNA from 1 species